rnacentral:rRNA from 1 species
GACAGGGGUCUCGAGCGUUAAUCGGAAUCACUGGGCUUAAAGGGUGCGUAGGCGGCGCAGUAAGUUGGGUGUGAAAUCCCUCGGCUUAACCGAGGAAUUGCGCCCAAAACUACUGUGCUCGAGGGAGAUAGAGGUGAGCGGAACUUAGGGUGGAGCGGUGAAAUGUGUUGAUAUCAUCAGGAAUACCGGAGGCGAAGGCGGCUCACUGGGGCUUUUCUGACGCUGAGGAACGAAAGCCAGGGUAGCGAACGGG